UACGUAGGGUGCGAGCGUUAAUCGGAAUUACUGGGCGUAAAGCGUGCGCAGGCGGCUUUGCAAGACAGAUGUGAAAUCCCCGGGCUCAACCUGGGAACUGCAUUUGUGACUGCAAGGCUAGAGUACGGCAGAGGGGGAUGGAAUUCCGCGUGUAGCAGUGACAUGCGUAGAUAUGCGGAGGAACACCAAUGGCGAAGGCAAUCCCCUGGGCCUGUACUGACGCUCAUGCACGAAAGCGUGGGGAGCAAACAGG
rnacentral:rRNA from 1 species